rnacentral:lncRNA from 1 species
GGACAAUAAAUGAACAAAAGACAAACCCGGAACACAGAAGUACAAACAAUAGACCAUCAACUCUGAAAACUAAAAAGAAAAUAGAAACAUAGAUAACGAAAAACAUCCAGGGGAUACACCAGACAGUGAAGAGAACUUGCUUCUUGCAAGACACUUUCCGUGAAAACAAUUUGAUAUGAAAACAACCUUUUGUUUCAUUUUUUAUUUUUUUUUUUUAUUUUUUACACGAGGCAUUUGCCUCAUUUGCCUCAAUGUAGUUACGGCCCUG